rnacentral:sRNA from 1 species
AUUCUGCCCAAGCGGGGAAGGAUGAGAAGCUUCGACCAAGAUUCGACUUGAGCGCCAGCGAGAGAGCGUUGCCGCAGGCAACGACCCGAAGGGCGAAGCGCGCAGCGCUGAGUAAUCCUUCCCCCACCACCA